CCUACGGGUGACAGCAGUGGGGAAUAUUGCACAAUGGGGUAAACCCUGAUGCAGCGACGUCGCGUGAGUGAAGAAGUAAUUCGUUAUGUAAAGCUCUAUCAGCCGGGAAGAAAUUGACGGUACCUGAGUCAGAAGCCCCGGCUAACGACGUGCCAGCAGCCGCGGGUAAACGUCGGGGGCACGCGGUAUUCGGAUUUACUGGGUGUAAAGGGAGCGUAGACGGCAGUGCAAGUCUGGAGUGAAAGGCGGGGGGUCAACCCCCGGACUGCUUUGGAAACUGUACGGCUGGAGUGCAGGAGAGGUAAGCGGAAUUCCUAGUGUAGCGGUGAAAUGCGUAGAUAUUAGGAAGAACUCCAGUGGCGAAGGCAGCUUACUGGAGUGUAACUGACGUUGAGGCUCGAAAGCGUGGGGAGCGAACAGGAUUAGAUACCCGAGUAGUC
rnacentral:rRNA from 1 species